GAAGGAAAGCCAUAGCCUUGUCUAAUGGCUGUUUUGUGCCAUCUGCGGGCAAUUCUACUCUCGCUAUGUAUCGCUAUUCAGUGAUUCUUGGUUCCCGAUCGUACGUCGUCGAAUGAUUACAAACAGCACUUCUAGUUGCCCGUGAGAGCUUCCGCUCACCCAAUUGGACACAUUCUAUCGAACCGAGUAAGCUUUUCCUCCCUCUGUGGAGUGUUUGGAUCUCUCUCAACGGGACCGAAACCAGGCAUGUAAACACUGGUUGCUAUCCACAUGUUGGGAAUGAACGUCGGUGUGUAAUCCGACGAGAAUGGCUUGUUGUCUUUGUUACAAUGCCAUUUGACAAGGAAAAUAAAAGGCGUUUUCACCUCGCUCGAGCCCCAUCGAUUUCCCCCAUGGCUUGAUGACACAUCGUCAACUUUCGCUUUUGUUGCAGGUGCAAAUAGGAAAAGACCCGGACCGAGUUUAGGUUUCUCACUGCUGACAUGCGAGCGGAAAACAUUGGCAAUCGGUGACCUGGUGAAGCUCCUUGAGAAGUUGAAGGGGAUCACACACAAUGUCUUUGUGUGUGUGUGUGUGUGUGUGUCUGCUUAGUCAGAACAUGAAGUGAUGUCAUGGACCAAGCUGUGGGAAUGUUGUCCCAAGAACCGCGCCAGGAACCGGCUGCAUCCUCUCACGCGUCAUUCUGGCUUGCGGAGGAGUGUGUGGGGGGGGACAGUAAUCAUGGAAUAAGCCUCAAUUAGUCCACCAGUGGAAAAUUCCAACGUUACGGCAAUUAAGUGGAGAGGAAUAGGAAUGGCGGUGAAGAGCGCGAAUAAUGCAGACGUGAAAUGUGAAUAACGGCAACAGUCGUCAUUACCCAGUUUAAAGUUUGUUCAAAGUCCCGCUCAGUCAGACUUUCUCUCAAUUAGUCAGCAGUCAAAUGGAACAGGAAGUGCCGACGGCCAGCUGAGUCAGCCGAGCCCCAUUUUUGCUUCUAGGGUCUAAAAGUCAAGUUGUUUAUUUGGAUAGCCUGUCAUUAUUUUAAAAAAAAAAAGCCUCACUGGGCUUGAUGAAUAUUAGCGACAUCCCCUGUUAUAAACACACACAACCUAGCACGGAAAAAACUCAAAACCGCAGAUGGUUGAUUCAAAAGCCAAAAGAGAAAAAAAAAACAUAGCGCCUAGUAGAGUUGAGGGCGAUGGUGGGGGUUUGUGGUCCAAUUAGGACAUGUGGCAGAAGUACGCCUGAUUUCCUGCGGGGGGCGUUACUGGCCCGCGGGGCUCCUCGCCCGCUGUGAGUCCCGUUUACAGGAGCUGCCUUUGUGCUGCACAACUAUAUUGCCCUUAAUGCCUUCCAGAUGUUCACCGACAUGCUGCCACUAAGGGGCGCUACAUUAUAGCGGCAUUGUCCCCCAGGCGUUUUGCACGUGUGUGUACAUUAUUCUGGCCUGUCCCAUUUUUGUUUAGUUUUGUUUAUUGUACUAGUAAAGGCAAAAAGAUUCACGGCGGGCAGCGGGUUUUACACGUUGAUGCAUGCGUGUUAUUUAUCGGGCGUAUUUGACACGUUGUCAGACUCGAGGGAGUCGUAAAAAAAAAAAAAAGACAGACUGUGACUUU